rnacentral:rRNA from 1 species
GACGAACGCUGGCGGCGUGCUUAACACAUGCAAGUCGAACGGAAAGGCCCUGCUUUUGUGGGGUGCUCGAGUGGCGAACGGGUGAGUAACACGUGAGUAACCUGCCCUUGACUUUGGGAUAACUUCAGGAAACUGGGGCUAAUACCGGAUAGGAGCUCCUGCUGCAUGGUGGGGGUUGGAAAGUUUCGGCGGUUGGGGAUGGACUCGCGGCUUAUCAGCUUGUUGGUGGGGUAGUGGCUUACCAAGGCUUUGACGGGUAGCCGGCCUGAGAGGGUGGCCGGGCACAUUGGGACUGAGAGACGGCGCAGACGCGUACGGGAGGCAGCAGGGGGGAAUAUGACACAAUGGGCGGAAGCCUGAUGCAGAAACGCCGCGUGCGGGAUGACGGGCUUCGGGUUGUAAACAGAUUUGGCCUGUGACGAAGAGUGAGUGACGGUAAUGGGUAAAGAAGCAACGGCUAACUACGUG